rnacentral:rRNA from 1 species
AUUGAACGCUGGCGGCAGGCUUAACACAUGCAAGUCGAGCGAGCGGCGGACGGGUGAGUAAUGUCUGGGAAACUGCCUGAUGGAGGGGGAUAACUACUGGAAACGGUAGCUAAUACCGCGUACCAUAGGAUGAGCCCAAGUGGGAUUAGGUAGUUGGUGAGGUAAAGGCUCACCAAGCCGACGAUCUCUAGCUGGUCUGAGAGGAUGACCAGCCACACUGGGACUGAGACACGGCCCAGACUCCUACGGGAGGCAGCAGUGGGGAAUAUUGCACAAUGGGCGCAAGCCUGAUGCAGCCAUGCCGCGUGUAUGAAGAAGGCCCUAGGGUUGUAAAGUACUUUCAGUCGGGAGGCGUUACCGACAGAAGAAGCACCGGCUAACUCCGUGCCAGCAGCCGCGGUAAUAC